AGUUUCCCAGUUUGGGAAUAGGACAGCUUCUUCGUCGUUCCAAUCAAACCACGAUGAAUCACUUUGUAAGAAGCUUGAUUUGGAUACAUAAAAAAGUGGUGUAGAAUCACCAGGAAGUUGAAUAAAUCUCAGAGGAGCUGGGAUGAAGAAGUUAUCCCAGUUUCAAAUCAGGUGAUUCCAGUUUCCCAGUUUGGGAAUAGGACAGCUUCUUCGUCGUUCCAAUCAACCAGGAUGAAUCCCUUUGUAAGAAGCUCGAUUUGGAUACUUAAAAUGGUGGAGAAUCACCAGGAAGUUGAAUAAAUCUCAUAGGAGCUGGGAUGAAGAAGUUAUCCCACUUUCAAAUCAGGUGAUUCCAGUUUCUCAGUUUGGGAAUAGGACAGCUUCUUCGUCGUUUCAAUCAAACCAGGAUGAAUCACUUUGUAAGAAGCUUGAUUUGGAUACAUAAAGUGGUGGAGAAUCACCAGGAAGUUGAAUAAAUCUCAUAGGAGCUGGGAUGAAGAAGUUAUCCCACUUUCAAAUCAGGUGAUUCCAGUUUCCCAGUUUGGGAACAAUACAGCUGCUGCGUGGUUCCAAUCAAACCAGGAUGAAUCACUUUGUAAGAAGCUCGAUUUGGAUACUUAAAAUGGUGGAGGAUCACCAGGAAGUUGAAUAAAUCUUAUAGGAGCUGGGAUGAAGAAGUUAUCCCACUUUCGAAUCAGGUGAUUCCAGUUUCCCAGUUUGGGAAUAGGACCGCUUCUUCGUCGUUCCAAUCAAACCAGGAUGAAUCACUUUGUAAGAAGCUUGAUUUGGAUACAUAAAGUGGUGUAGAAUCACCAGGAAGUUGAAUAAAUCUCAUAGGAGUUGGGAUGAAGAAGUUAU